rnacentral:rRNA from 1 species
UAGGGAAUCCUCCACAAUGGACGCAAGUCUGAUGGAGCAACGCCGCGUGAGUGAAGAAGGGUUUCGGCUCGUAAAGCUCUGUUGUUAAAGAAGAACGUGGGUAAGAGUAACUGUUUACCCAGUGACGGUAUUUAACCAGAAAGCCACGGCUAACUACGUGUCAG